rnacentral:rRNA from 1 species
GUAGUCAUAUGCUUGUCUCAAAGAUUAAGCCAUGCAUGUCUAAGUAUAAGCAAUUAUACGGCGAAACUGCGAAUGGUUCAUUAUAUAAGUUAUCGUUUAUUUGAUAGUACCUUACUACUUGGAUAACCGUGGUAAUUCUAGAGCUAAUACAUGCUUAAAAUCCCGACUUCGGAAGGGAUGUAUUUAUUAGAUUAAAAACCAAUGCCCUUCGGGGCUCUCUGGUGAUUCAUGAUAACUUCUCGAAUCGCAUGGCCUUGCGCCGGCGAUGGUUCAUUCAAAUUUCUUCCCUAUCAACUUUCGAUGUUUGGGUAUUGGCCAAACAUGGUUGCAACGGGUAACGGGGAAU